rnacentral:lncRNA from 1 species
CCGGGCCUAUCAGUGCGCGGCCCCGUAGUCACGUGAUGCGCGCUGUGCACGCGCCUGACCGCGCGGAGUUCGCUCUGGGGUGCUUCAGCAGUGUGCCAGUGAAUCCUCGGGACAAGGCGCCAAAGUGUCCACCCACCCCACUUGGAAGGGCUGGGCAAAGGUUGCACGUGGCUCGUCAAGCCGGCCUUGCCUCGGAAACUCCACCAGUGAUGCGGCUGCCCACGGUGGCCUGCUCUGGGUGCUUAGGGGUAUGA